UUAAUGGAGAGUUUGAUCCUGGCUCAGGAUGAAUGCUGGCGGCGUGCCUAAUACAUGCAAGUCGAGCGGUAACAGGGCUUCACCGUUUCCUUGACACACCUAGCGCAUUAUCGUAGGUUGUUCGAUUCGAGGGAACAGUGAAGCUGCUGACGAGCGGCGGACGGCUGAGUAACGCGUGGGAACGGACCCCAAACUGAGGGAUAACUACUCGAAAGAGUGGCUAAUACCGCAUGUGAUCUUCGGAUUAAAG
rnacentral:rRNA from 1 species